UUGUCUCUGCAUUGUUGGGAAGGGCCCGUAAGUAAGCAUUUCACUGUUAGUCCACACCUCUUGUUUACAAAGAUUUUAGAUUUUUAUGUACUUGUGGCUUUAAAUUUGGUCAUUGUUUGUUUAAACAAAAGACAUUUGUUCAUGAUAGUCCAUUUAUUGAGGCCAACUUGAAAUGCAUUGUCACAACUUUGAUUUUCUUCACACACUGAGGUUGCUUGCUAUUCAGUAAAGUAUAUUUUCAUGGCUUUAGAAAACUGUUGGCAGCUUGCCCCACAGGGAAGAUAGAUCUAGAUAAGCUUCUCCAUCAAUAGAGAGAACACGUCAGUGUGUCCCACCCAAGACAUCUGAAAUGGACGGUUUUGAAAGAAGCUCCCAUUUCUCACAGCCUUUAAAAAUGGGCCAACGUGGCUUUAGUUCCUGGUUCUCAUAAGAAGUGAUGUAUACUGUGGGGCGCAGGGAUUUGGGACUAUUAUGACUGAUAGAGGCUCAGCUAUCACUGGCCACUUAAGCCCAACUUCUUCAUUGUACUGCUGCACCUUUUGUUCCCAACCACAUUGUAACUAACCACAACUCCACUUGAUGCAAAGUGUUCCUAGGUGACAUUUUUCUGAUUAAAAAUAAAGUUUGCAUUUAGCACAGGUAUGGGCAACUUCAGUCCUCGGGGGCGGGAAUGGUGUCACACUUUUUACACAUACCUAAUCAAAACAGCUGAUGAAACUAAUUACAUUCUAAACUAAAGAUCAUGAUUAGUUGAUUAUUGGAGUCAGAUGUGUUAGCUGGGGCUGGGGUAAAAGUGUGACACCAGUCAAGCCCCCGAGGACUGGAGCUGCCCAUCUCUGAUUUAGUACAUACUCUGCUUUUUUCACAUAUUGUUAGCUUCAGGCCUAACUGAAUAGAUUAUUUGGUAACACUUAAAAUAAGGCCAACAGGUACUGUAUAGGCUAAUGCAUUAUUAUGUGAUCAUAUAUAAUGCUUUGAAGACAUAAAUUGUGCUUUGCACCCAAAAAGAAUAUUGAAAUAAUCGAAACAAUUCUGUGAGUCUGUAAUCUUGAAUCUGAUCCAAAAAGAAUGAGGGAGUCGUCCACUUCAAGUGACUCCUUCUCCUCUUCACUCAUCCUCGGCCAAGUUCAGGCUAUAGCAGAUGCCUCGUCAUUCAUUCCACACUAAUCCUCUGUCAGUAUCUGGUCUGCAUCAUCUGCAGUUCAUGCCACCACCGAACCUUAUCUUUCUAGCCCGUGUCCCAAGAGUAUUACUGUCCAACUGUUGUGCUGCACAGACAGGCCAUGACGCUGCUCCUCAUCACCUUCCAGGCCUUGAACCUUCUACGUUCCUGUCCAAUGAUGGCUGACCACAAUGCAGCUCUAUAUACAGUAUCUUCUGUAUAGCUACACCUCUUCUCUUUACACCACAUUUUGUGUUCAGUACUUGUCCAUUUUGGCCAGACUGGAUAGUAGUAGACAGAAAACUGGUUCUGGAUUCCACUCUUUUUUUGGUUUCCACAGUGUGUAGUCUGUUGACAUUGUUGAGUAGGCCAAUUAACCAUAUUUGACAUGCAUGCUUCCACAAAUGUUUUUAUAAUAUUUAACUUUUUUUCCUGGAAUUUGGGUUGAGAGACACAAAAGGAAACGAGAGAGAGAGAGAGAGAGAGAGAGAUUAAUCUGGUAAGAAUUACAUAGGCAGACAGCUCCCUCUGCUGGCCCAAACCUCUAAUCAAUUUUAGAGAGAAAUGUUAACGUUUAACAACGACGAAUUGUCAACAUUUAACCAGCCAAAUGAACAUUAAUAUAGCUUCAUACGCACAUAGCUUCUCCUUACCACUUCAACAUGACAUUGUGCAAACGCAGGAACACAAUUUCUCGUCCUGGCAAAGUUGCAAACAAAUGUUGUCUAAAUAAAAACGGAAGUAAUUUAGCAGAUUCUCUUAUCCAGAGCGACUUACAGGCGCAAAUAGGAUAAAGUGCCUUACUCAAGGGCACAUCGACAGAUUUUUCACAUAAACCAGUGACCUUUCAGUAACUGUCCCAACCAUAGAGAUGGAAAGAGGCCUCAUCAUUGUAUCCGUGCCAUUAUGGCGUCUGUAACAGCAUGAGCAGCGCCAUUAAGGCUAACUCCAUUUUGAAGUAGUAUAUUUUCUUCUUCACGAUUGGCUGAUUCCUCCUGAUGACCCAGUUGCACAUGACUCCAACAAGGCUACCAGGAGGGAUUAGCCAAUGAAGUUGGAUGUCCCACCCAGUUGACUUGAUUAAAAUAAUGGCAGCCGGCAGUGGUAUUGCCCAUGCAAAAAUAGCCUUUUGGCCACUAGAGGCCUUUAUCAUUCUCUAUGGGACCAACGCUCUUAACCACUAGGUGGCUAAAUAUUGCCUGCAUAAAUAUUAUUAUGUAGUAUUUAAAAACGUUUGUUUAAAAUAUUAAGUGGAAAAUGUGUUUUCACUGAAAACAUCUAAUUUUCUAAUAUUUAUAAAAGAGAGGUUGAUUCUCUUUGCUGAUAUGAUCAACAUUACACAAUUAGCUCAUGUUUAGGCAUCUUCAAGUCGACAAUACUGCGAGGACCCAUAAAUGGUGGACGUACGAGAAAGAGCUGACUCUUGAAGUUGAGCCAAGUGCCUUUCAAUCAUGGGAUUGCGGACUAUCUGGAAUAAUUACAAAGUCUUGAUUGUUAUGGGCACGAGCCUUGGACUCAUACACUGGGGUUGGUACAACGUCAAGUCGCACCCUGCGCUACACAAGAAUAAACAGGACUAUAUGCCCGAACCAGGCAUUGUGGCGUAUGUUUCGCCACCUCAAGCCCCUGCGAAGGCAAAGUAGCUGGUGAAGGAGAGUGAGUGACGUACACAUCCUUCAGAAAGGACAACACCGACUAGGCUCUAUAGUGGACUGAGACUAUGAAGCCCCAGAGCUGGUUGAGGAAGAACUGGCUGUGGGUGGCUGGGGGGGGUCCUUCCUUGGCAUCCAUUUAACCACCUGGCUCAUGCAGAGGGCUAUGAGAAGCGUCGCUCGCUCUGAGAUGGCACUGAAAGAGAAGGAUUCCCAGGAGUGACUAGUGGGGAGGCAUUUUGCCAGUGGACUACUAUCUGUUUAACGAUUCACGUGUGAAGUAAAUGGAAUUGCAUUCUGAACUCAAGAUAAUGGUGUAAUUACCUGUGCUUGAUAAGCUGUAAAUGUUAUUCCUCUGUUAGAGAUCAAAUAAAACUAUGAAUUUCACAAUAAGUCAAACUGCAGAGUAACUUGCUUACAGGUGUGCGGAGUAUGAACAUAUUUCACCCAGGGAAGACCAGGGCUGCAUUUCAAGACACUUUACAGACAUCACAUAAUCAAUUACAUUUAAAAUGUCAGCCAUGAAACGCAAACAAAACUUGAGAUUAUAUUAAAUUAGGCCAAAGAGUGGGCUUAAGUACCAUCACAAUUGAGUGCAAUAUUGGGACCUCCAUUCCUAACAUGUACCAUCCCUAACAUCUCUAUGGCCCGUUUCACACUACUGUGGUGACCCAAACCGUACUAUGCUGGUUCAGGGAUUUUAUUUGUACAUGCUCCUUUCCAGCAUGGUUCCUGCAACUAUGGUGAAUGCGUAGCCAGGCCAGUGCAAUAAAGCUCAGCUGGCUCAGUAAUGUGGAAAGAGUUUAAUCUUUCCAUCAUCAGCACUGUUCUUUCUCCAGAUCAGUGCCAAUGAAGGAAAUUAGAAAACCACCUUAAAUUGAAAUAUUGAUGUGGCCUAUGUCUGCUUUUAGUGGACUAUGUUGUUGCGCUCUCUAAAACAUGAUACCCUUAUGAAAACGCUUAUACUACCCUCUAGGGCUGGAAUUGGAGGAUUACAACUACUGUCAUGUCAUAACACGUACUGUGAUGCUUGUCUGUCACGAACCUCAGUGAUGCACUAGCUCGACUCUAGUUCCCGAGGGUGGCAUCUCUCUGGUUGAUGAUUGAUUGAUUGAUGAAUGAUUGAUAAUUGAUUGAUGAAUGUCACUGCUUAGCCAUAUAUUGCAUUUACAUGAUUUCCAGUAAGCUGAGGCUUUGUCCCACCUAACGAAGGAUGACUUUGCCUUUGGACUUAUGUAAUCAACCAAGCAAGCAUGACAUUAAAAAGUGCAAUA
rnacentral:lncRNA from 1 species